rnacentral:rRNA from 1 species
UACGUAGGGUGCGAGCGUUAAUCGGAAUUACUGGGCAUAAAGCGCACGUAGGCGGUCCGUUAAGUCAUGUGUGAAAUCCCCCGGCUCAACCGGGGAAUUGCGCCUGAUACUGGCGGGCUAGAGAUCGAUAGGGGUGAGUGGAACUCCAGGUGGAGCGGUGAAAUGCGUAGAUAUCUGGAGGAACACCGGUGGCGAAAGCGGCUCACUGGAUCGAUACUGACGCUGAGGUGCGAAAGCUAGGGUAGCAAACGGG